AAAAACAUGGCCUUUUGAUUAUAAUCUAAGGUCUAGCCUGCUCAAUGAGUUUUAAAUAGCCGCAGUAUCUUAACUGUGCAAAGGUAGCAUAAUCAUUAGUUUCUUAAUUAGAAGCUGGAAUGAAAGGUUGAAUGAGAAAAAAGCUGUCUCUAUAAAAAUUUUAUAGAAUUUUAUUUUUAAGUAAAAAAGCUUAAAUAUGAAUAAAAGACGAGAAGACCCUAUAGAGUUUUAUACUUAUAAAUUAUACUUUUUUAGUAUUUUAAAAUUUAUUUUAUUUAUAUAGUAUUUAGUUGGGGUGAUUGGAAAAUUUAAUGAACUUUUCUUAUAUAGGAACACUUAUUUGUGGGAGUAUGAUUCAUUUUUAGAUUAUAAAGAAAAAAUUACCUUAGGGAUAACAGCGUAAUUUUUUUUGAGAGUUCUUAUCGAAAAAAGAGAUUGCGACCUCGAUGUUGGAUUAAAAUGAAUUUUUGGUGUAGAAGCUAAAUUGAUUGGGUCUGUUCGACCUUUAAAAUUUUACUUGAUCUGAGUU
rnacentral:rRNA from 1 species